rnacentral:rRNA from 1 species
AGAGUUUGAUCCUGGCUCAGGAUGAACGCUAGCGGCAGGCCUAACACAUGCAAGUCGAGGGGCAGCACGGUGUAGCAAUACACUGGUGGCGACCGGCGCACGGGUGCGUAACGCGUAUGCAACCUACCCAUAACAGGGGGAUAACACUGAGAAAUUGGUACUAAUACCCCAUAACAUCAGGACCGGCAUCGGUUCUGGUUGAAAACUCCGGUGGUUAUGGAUGGGCAUGCGUUGUAUUAGCUGGUUGGUGAGGUAACGGCUCACCAAGGCAACGAUACAUAGGGGGACUGAGAGGUUAACCCCCCACAUUGGUACUGAGACACGGACCAAACUCCUACGGGAGGCAGCAGUGAGGAAUAUUGGUCAAUGGACGCAAGUCUGAACCAGCCAUGCCGCGUGCAGGAAGACGGCUCUAUGAGUUGUAAACUGCUUUUGUACGAGAGUAAACGCUCUUACGUGUAAGAGCCUGAAAGUAUCGUACGAAUAAGGAUCGGCUAACUCCGUGCCAGCAGCCGCGGUAAUACGGAGGAUCCAAGCGUUAUCCGGAUUUAUUGGGUUUAAAGGGUGCGUAGGCGGUUUGAUAAGUUAGAGGUGAAAUACCGGUGCUUAACACCGGAACUGCCUCUAAUACUGUUGAACUAGAGAGUAGUUGCGGUAGGCGGAAUGUAUGGUGUAGCGGUGAAAUGCUUAGAGAUCAUACAGAACACCGAUUGCGAAGGCAGCUUACCAAACUAUAUCUGACGUUGAGGCACGAAAGCGUGGGGAGCAAACAGGAUUAGAUACCCUGGUAGUCCACGCAGUAAACGAUGAUAACUCGUUGUCGGCGAUACACAGUCGGUGACUAAGCGAAAGCGAUAAGUUAUCCACCUGGGGAGUACGUUCGCAAGAAUGAAACUCAAAGGAAUUGACGGGGGCCCGCACAAGCGGAGGAACAUGUGGUUUAAUUCGAUGAUACGCGAGGAACCUUACCCGGGCUUGAAAGUUAGCGACGAUUCUUGAAAGAGGAUUUCCCUUCGGGGCGCGAAACUAGGUGCUGCAUGGUUGUCGUCAGCUCGUGCCGUGAGGUGUCGGGUUAAGUCCCAUAACGAGCGCAACCCCUACCGUUAGUUGCCAUCAGGUGAAGCUGGGCACUCUGGCGGGACUGCCGGUGUAAUCCGUAUCGGUCGGCACGACCUCAACACGGCCCUUGACGCCGGUUGCAGUUGCCAUGGACUUCGCCGCAUCCGCAAGCGGCAUGCCGAGCUGCAGCACGAUACCGAGCGCAGUCAGUGCAUUCUCGACCGAGAAAUGACCCGGAAUCGGCAGCUUGACAUCUGCCUUUUCACCCUGAUACUGUGCGGUAAACUCCACGCCGUCCGCGUGCAGCUGCCGGUCGGUCGCUUCGAGAUCGGCCUCCGGCUUGCCGCAGGAGAACGUCAUGCACGGGCACUUUGCGUCCGCG